rnacentral:rRNA from 1 species
AUUGAACGCUGGCGGAAUGCUUUACACAUGCAAGUCGAACGGCAGCACGGGGGCAGCCCUGGUGGCGAGUGGCGAACGGGUGAGUAAUACAUCGGAACGUGCCCGGUCGUGGGGGAUAACGUAGCGAAAGUUACGCUAAUACCGCAUACGGUCUGAGGAUGAAAGCGGGGGACCUUCGGGCCUCGCGCGAUCGGAGCGGCCGAUGUCAGAUUAGGUAGUUGGUGGGGUAAAGGCCUACCAAGCCGACGAUCUGUAGCUGGUCUGAGAGGACGACCAGCCACACGGGGACGGAGACACGGCCCAGACUCCUACGGGAGGCAGCAGUGGGGAAUUGUGGACAAUGGGCGCAAGCCUGAUCCAGCCAUUCCGCGUGCAGGACGAAGGCCUUCGGGUUGUAAACUGCUUUUGUACGGAACGAAAAGGCUCUGGCUAAUACCUGGGGCUCAUGACGGUACCGUAAGAAUAAGCACCGGCUAACUACGUG